AGAUGUUAAUCUGUUUAAGAAUAUUUUGAUCGGUAUAUAAACAGUGGCCGUGUACUAAAAGCUGAAACUUCUACAGCUACAAGAUGAAGAAGAGGAAGAUCCAGCGGUUGUGGCCACUGUUUUGGUCCGACAGCAGCGGAAGAUGAGGGACAUUCUAAAGCACUUAACAUUAAAAAA